UUUUGUUAUCCGUGGCAAAAGGUUUUGCUACAGUGUGCACUAAUGAAUAUGACCCAGAAAUCCUAGAUAAUAGAAAUCAUUCAACUGGACCAAAUAUACAAAAGUAUGUGGACACCCCUUCAAAUGAUUGAAUUCAGCUAUUUCAGCUAAAUCCGUUGCUGACAGGUAUAUAAAACCGAGCACACUGCCAUGCAAUCUCCAUAGACAAACAUUGGUAGUAGAAUGACCCGUACUGAAGAGCUCACUGACUUUCGGCGUGGCACCGUCACAGGAUGCCACCUUUCCAACAAAUCAUUGUGUCAAAUUUCUGCCCUGUUAGAGCUGCCCUGGUGGUGGAAAUGUCUAGGAGCAACAACGGCUCAGCUGUGAAGUGGUAGGCCACACAAGCUCAUAGAACAAGACCACCGAGUCUAAGAUCACCAAAAUGCCAAGCAUAGGCUGGAGUGGUGUAAAGCUCACUGCCAUUGGACUCUGGAGCAGUGGAAACACGUUCUCUGGAGUGAUGAAUCACGCUUCACCAUCUUGGCAGUCCGACAGAAGAAUCUGGGUUUGGCGGAUGUCAGGACAACGCUACCUACCCUAAUGCAUAGUGCCAACUGUAACGUUUGGUGGAGGAGGAAUAAUGGUCUGGGGCUGGUUUUUAUGGUUCAGGCCCCUUAGUUCCAGUGAAGGGAAAUCUUAACGCUACAGCAUACAACAACAUUCUAGAAGAUUCUGUGUUUCCAACUUUGUGGCAACAGUUUGGGGAAGGCCCUUUCCUGUUUCAGCAUGACAAUGCCCCCGUGCACAAAGCGAGGUCCAAACCGAAAUGGUUUGUUGAGAUCGGUGUGGAAGAACUUAACUGGCCGGCACAGAGCCCUGACCUCAACCCCAUCAAACACCUUUGUGAUGAAUGAGAGCCAUGGAAGCAUGUCACUGCAGCAAUGUUCCAACAUCUAGUGGAAAGCCUUCCCAGAAGAGUGGAGGCUGUUAUAUCAGCAAUGUUCCUACAUCUAGUGGAAAGCCUUCCCAGAAGAGUGGAGGCUGUUAUAGCAGCAAUGUUCCUACAUCUAGUGGAAAGCCUUCCCAGAAGAGUGGAGGCUGUUAUAGCAGCAAUGUUCCAACAUCUAGUGGAAAGCCUUCCCAGAAGAGUGGAGGCUGUUAUAGCAGCAAUGUUCCUACAUCUAGUGGAAAGCCUUCCCAGAAGAGUAGAGGCUGUUAUAGGGGGGACCAACUCUAUAUUAAUGACCAUGAUUUUAGAAUGAGAUGUUGGAUAAGGUGUCCACAUACUUUUGGUCACAUAGUGUAUUUACAGCUAAAUAUAUACACAAUUAAAAUGACUACAUGCAAAUCAAUUACACUCAAUAUCAAUGGUCCCUUUAUAUAAACAAUACCUGAUGGGACGCAUCAUAGAACAACAGAACACGGUGACAAAUGGACGAACAAACAAAUAAAAUGAACAGACCUGGGCUGUAUCCCAAUGAUCUCUCCUUCCUCCUAAAUUGUUCACUUCCCUAAUCUAAAAGUAGCGAACAAGUGUACACUUCGAGAGAAAGGAGGUAUUAUUGGGACGCACACUCAGUCAGCAGUUGCCAUAGUAGUCGGCGGGGAGGCAUCGGUGUUCCCGGUUGGCUGCUGGUUUAGUUGACCUUGGAGGUCAGAGGUCACAGGUGGAGUCGUCCCUGGCUGCGCUUGGACUGCUGGGGGAU
ensembl:lncRNA